AUUGAACGCUGGCGGCAGGCCUAACACAUGCAAGUCGAGCGGAUGAAGGGAGCUUGCUCCUGGAUUCAGCGGCGGACGGGUGAGUAAUGCCUAGGAAUCUGCCUUGUCGUGGGGGAUAACGUCCGGAAACGGGCGCUAAUACCGCAUACGUCCUGAGGUAGAAAGUGGGGGAUCUUCGGACCUCACGCUAUCAGAUGAGCCUAGGUCGGAUUAGCUAGUUGGUGGGGUAAAGGCCUACCAAGGCGACGAUCCGUAACUGGUCUGAGAGGAUGAUCAGUCACACUGGAACUGAGACACGGUCCAGACUCCUACGGGAGGCAGCAGUGGGGAAUAUUGGGCAAUGGGCGAAAGCCUGAUCCAGCCAUGCCGCGUGUGUGAAGAAGGUCUUCGGAUUGUAAAGCACUGUAAGUUGGGAGGAAGGGCAGUAAGUUAAUACCUUGCUGUUUUGACGUUACCAACAGAAUAAGCACCGGCUAACCUCGUG
rnacentral:rRNA from 1 species